GUCUAUGGCCAUACCACCCUGAAUGCACCCAAUCUCAUCUGAAUGGCCAUAGAACGCGCCUGAUCUUAGAAGCUAAGCAGGGUCGGGCCUGGUUAUUACUUGGAUGGCAGAAAGUUGAAUAGCAUCCUGUAGGAU
rnacentral:rRNA from 1 species